rnacentral:misc_RNA from 1 species
GAUGAAGAACGUAGCGAAAUGCGAUAAUUAAUGUGAAUUGCAGAAUUCAGUGAAUCAUCGAAUCUUUGAACGCACAUUGCGCCCGCUAGUAUUCUGGCGGGCAUGCCUGUCCGAGCGUCAUUUCAACCCUCAAGCCCCCGGGCUUGGUGUUGGGGAUCGGCGAGCCUCCGCGCCCGCCGUCCCCUAAAUCUAGUGGCGGUCUCGCUGUAGCUUCCUCUGCGUAGUAGCACACCUCGCACUGGGAAACAGCGCGGCCACGCCGUUAAACCCCCAACUUCUGAACGUUUGACCUCGGAUCAGGUAGGAAUACCCGCUGAACUUAAGCAUAUCAAUAAGCGGAGGA